UCUGCAAAACACAUCCCGUCGAUGUUACAUGUCCGGUCCUGGCCACCGGAGACGACCAGAGAGAGAGAGUGAAAAAAGAAAAAAAAGGUCUGACCUGGAUCAUGGACACUCAGAGCCAGAGGGACUCCACACUGGUGGCCGUGGUCGGGGCCGUAGCAGGGGAUAGAUGAGAAAACAUCAGAGCAUCAAGAUUUCUAUCUGCGGUCCAUCUAACCUCUGGACCUGCUGAGUGAUGGGAAUGCAGCCACGCAGGCCAAGUCACGCAGCUCUGCACAAUCUAUGGAG